rnacentral:lncRNA from 1 species
AUAUAGGCUAAACAGGGCUCAACGGGUUUAAACCUACAAAAACAAAUGUAUGGAAUGAAGGCUUUUUGGCUAUGGUAGUAACUACUAAACAACUUUAUCUUCAAUAUGUGUUAUGCAAUUCAAUAACAUGUUUUGAAUGAAAUUGGCAUGAGUUCUAGCAUUUGGAACUAAAUGAUGAAACACCUUCUAAGUAGUAACCAAGCAAAGAAUAAUGAGAUCAUGCAACGACUUUAGAAAACAAGAAUGCACAGAUUUUAACUCUCCAAAUAAAGUUUAGGCUCAAGUCUCUCAGGGUUGUAGCUUUAGUUUGAGUUUCUUCCUUCAAGCAUGUCACAAAACUGAUUUUUUCCUUUUUGAUUACAUGUGAAUUCAUAAGUUAUAACUACAACUAAGCAUAAACCAAGAGUAAAUCAAACUUCCAUCCAUGUUUAUAACUCUCUUCAAUAGUCAUUCAAUUAAAAACCGAAUCCUCAUCAUUGUGUUGGAAGGUACCCUAAGACACAAACAAACACACAAAAACAACUUAAAAACGACUCUUUUUGGGUUUUUUAAAACAAAUUUUCAAAUUUUUAUGGGAUUUUCGGAUUUUUGAAUCAAAACACAUUAAACUCCUUCCCAUCGUUCUACACCAUUCAUAACCCCCAAAACUCAC